UUGGUGAUCCAGCUCGCAGAGGUAGCAGCCAAAGUCUGCUGCAGGGGGGAAAAAAAAAAUAACAGAAGGCGAGAGGGACCCAGCUCUUGCUGGGUCUGCGGCUGUCGGCGACACAGAAAGGAAGAGAAAAAGAGGAAGGCACUUGAAAAAAUGAAGGAAUGGACCAGGGUGGAAGAGAAAGAGGGAGCAAUAGCAAGAAAGACCAAGUGAUGAUGGACAUCUGGUUCCAGGGAUCUUGGUGGCUUGGAGGAAACCCCCAUCUUGGUCUGCUGCUCCGUGUAACACGCAGCGGACUCACUCCGCUCUGGGAGUGAGAAGUGACUCACAGUUUUGGUAUCUCCUACGUAAGAGCUUUGGGGGGAUUCCUUGGCUUGCUGACAAGGGAAGGAAGAAAGCAGCAGCAGUGAGGUAAAACACGAUUACUUCCAACUGCCUUGCGGAGGAUAUGCAGUCGCUUGGUUUGACUGGAACAGCUUGCUGCUCUCUGAUGGCACGCGGAGGGAGAAUAAUUAAAAAGGCCAGCAUCACUUACUAAAUUCCUAACUAGCCAUCUGCCCUGACAUCUGGGUAAUACAUAUUCGUAGAAACACAGAAGAUUGGAGUUGAAAGACCUGCUCUCGGGCAACCUUCACAUUAUGAAGAGGAGAAUAUUGGCCAAACAGGACUAAUCAGUGUGGCAUUCCACAGCUAGUAAGGGAAGAAUCAAAAGGGGAAUGCAGCUCUCUGAAGUCCAGUUCACAACUACUUGGCUACUGAAGCCACAAAAGCUGGUGUAAGAUGUAACUUCAUCAGAAUAUCCUUCCUGCAAAAGAUCUGGAACCGCAUUUGUUCUGACA